GAUUGGGGUUUUCCCCUCCCAUGUGCUCAAGACUGGCGCUAAAAGUUUUGAGCUUCUCAAAAGUCUAGAGCCACCGUCCAGGGAGCAGGUAGCUGCUGGGCUCCGGGGACACUUUGCGUUCGGGCUGGGAGCGUGCUUUCCACGACGGUGACACGCUUCCCUGGAUUGGCAGCCAGACUGCCUUCCGGGUCACUGCCAUGGAGGAGCCGCAGUCAGAUCCUAGCGUCGAGCCCCCUCUGAGUCAGGAAACAUUUUCAGACCUAUGGAAACUACUUCCUGAAAACAACGUUCUGUCCCCCUUGCCGUCCCAAGCAAUGGAUGAUUUGAUGCUGUCCCCGGACGAUAUUGAACAAUGGUUCACUGAAGACCCAGGUCCAGAUGAAGCUCCCAGAAUGCCAGAGGCUGCUCCCCCCGUGGCCCCUGCACCAGCAGCUCCUACACCGGCGGCCCCUGCACCAGCCCCCUCCUGGCCCCUGUCAUCUUCUGUCCCUUCCCAGAAAACCUACCAGGGCAGCUACGGUUUCCGUCUGGGCUUCUUGCAUUCUGGGACAGCCAAGUCUGUGACUUGCACGUACUCCCCUGCCCUCAACAAGAUGUUUUGCCAACUGGCCAAGACCUGCCCUGUGCAGCUGUGGGUUGAUUCCACACCCCCGCCCGGCACCCGCGUCCGCGCCAUGGCCAUCUACAAGCAGUCACAGCACAUGACGGAGGUUGUGAGGCGCUGCCCCCACCAUGAGCGCUGCUCAGAUAGCGAUGGUCUGGCCCCUCCUCAGCAUCUUAUCCGAGUGGAAGGAAAUUUGCGUGUGGAGUAUUUGGAUGACAGAAACACUUUUCGACAUAGUGUGGUGGUGCCCUAUGAGCCGCCUGAGGUUGGCUCUGACUGUACCACCAUCCACUACAACUACAUGUGUAACAGUUCCUGCAUGGGCGGCAUGAACCGGAGGCCCAUCCUCACCAUCAUCACACUGGAAGACUCCAGUGGUAAUCUACUGGGACGGAACAGCUUUGAGGUGCGUGUUUGUGCCUGUCCUGGGAGAGACCGGCGCACAGAGGAAGAGAAUCUCCGCAAGAAAGGGGAGCCUCACCACGAGCUGCCCCCAGGGAGCACUAAGCGAGCACUGCCCAACAACACCAGCUCCUCUCCCCAGCCAAAGAAGAAACCACUGGAUGGAGAAUAUUUCACCCUUCAGAUCCGUGGGCGUGAGCGCUUCGAGAUGUUCCGAGAGCUGAAUGAGGCCUUGGAACUCAAGGAUGCCCAGGCUGGGAAGGAGCCAGGGGGGAGCAGGGCUCACUCCAGCCACCUGAAGUCCAAAAAGGGUCAGUCUACCUCCCGCCAUAAAAAACUCAUGUUCAAGACAGAAGGGCCUGACUCAGACUGACAUUCUCCACUUCUUGUUCCCCACUGACAGCCUCCCACCCCCAUCUCUCCCUCCCCUGCCAUUUUGGGUUUUGGGUCUUUGAACCCUUGCUUGCAAUAGGUGUGCGUCAGAAGCACCCAGGACUUCCAUUUGCUUUGUCCCGGGGCUCCACUGAACAAGUUGGCCUGCACUGGUGUUUUGUUGUGGGGAGGAGGAUGGGGAGUAGGACAUACCAGCUUAGAUUUUAAGGUUUUUACUGUGAGGGAUGUUUGGGAGAUGUAAGAAAUGUUCUUGCAGUUAAGGGUUAGUUUACAAUCAGCCACAUUCUAGGUAGGGGCCCACUUCACCGUACUAACCAGGGAAGCUGUCCCUCACUGUUGAAUUUUCUCUAACUUCAAGGCCCAUAUCUGUGAAAUGCUGGCAUUUGCACCUACCUCACAGAGUGCAUUGUGAGGGUUAAUGAAAUAAUGUACAUCUGGCCUUGAAACCACCUUUUAUUACAUGGGGUCUAGAACUUGACCCCCUUGAGGGUGCUUGUUCCCUCUCCCUGUUGGUCGGUGGGUUGGUAGUUUCUACAGUUGGGCAGCUGGUUAGGUAGAGGGAGUUGUCAAGUCUCUGCUGGCCCAGCCAAACCCUGUCUGACAACCUCUUGGUGAACCUUAGUACCUAAAAGGAAAUCUCACCCCAUCCCACACCCUGGAGGAUUUCAUCUCUUGUAUAUGAUGAUCUGGAUCCACCAAGACUUGUUUUAUGCUCAGGGUCAAUUUCUUUUUUCUUUUUUUUUUUUUUUUUUCUUUUUCUUUGAGACUGGGUCUCGCUUUGUUGCCCAGGCUGGAGUGGAGUGGCGUGAUCUUGGCUUACUGCAGCCUUUGCCUCCCCGGCUCGAGCAGUCCUGCCUCAGCCUCCGGAGUAGCUGGGACCACAGGUUCAUGCCACCAUGGCCAGCCAACUUUUGCAUGUUUUGUAGAGAUGGGGUCUCACAGUGUUGCCCAGGCUGGUCUCAAACUCCUGGGCUCAGGCGAUCCACCUGUCUCAGCCUCCCAGAGUGCUGGGAUUACAAUUGUGAGCCACCACGUCCAGCUGGAAGGGUCAACAUCUUUUACAUUCUGCAAGCACAUCUGCAUUUUCACCCCACCCUUCCCCUCCUUCUCCCUUUUUAUAUCCCAUUUUUAUAUCGAUCUCUUAUUUUACAAUAAAACUUUGCUGCCACCUGUGUGUCUGAGGGGUG
rnacentral:sRNA from 1 species